GUAGGGAAUCUUCCACAAUGGGCGCAAGCCUGAUGGAGCAACACCGCGUGAGUGAAGAAGGGUUUCGGCUCGUAAAGCUCUGUUGUUAAAGAAGAACACGUAUGAGAGUAACUGUUCAUACGUUGACGGUAUUUAACCAGAAAGUCACGGCUAACUACGUGCCAGCAGCCGCGGUAAUACGUAGGUGGCAAGCGUUAUCCGGAUUUAUUGGGCGUAAAGAGAGUGCAGGCGGUUUUCUAAGUCUGAUGUGAAAGCCUUCGGCUUAACCGGAGAAGUGCAUCGGAAACUGGAUAACUUGAGUGCAGAAGAGGGUAGUGGAACUCCAUGUGUAGCGGUGGAAUGCGUAGAUAUAUGGAAGAACACCAGUGGCGAAGGCGGCUACCUGGUCUGCAACUGACGCUGAGACUCGAAAGCAUGGGUAGCGAACAGGAUUAGAAACCCUUGUAGUCC
rnacentral:rRNA from 1 species